rnacentral:rRNA from 1 species
GCAGCCAGCUCCGGCCGCCUGGCGGCCGCGGGAUUCGAUUGGGGCCUACGGGAGGCAGCAGUGGGGAAUAUUGUGCAAUGGGGGAAACCCUGACACAGCAACGCCGCGUGAGCGAAGAAGGCCUUCGGGUUGUAAAGCUCAAUAGUAUGGGAAGAAAGAAAUGACGGUACCAUACGAAAGCCCCGGCUAACCACGUGCCAGCAGCCGCGGUAAUAAUCACUAGUGAAUUC